GUUGUGAUGUAAUCGGUUGUAACAUCCGCUCUAUUGUGUUGUCAUUCCGGCUCUACGUGCUGCAGGAAAAAGACUGGGAGUUAGCAAGCAAAUCAGUGGGACCUUUUGAUACAGGAGCCGAUAGGAGGGAGUUGGCUGGCUGUUUAUUCAGCGUUUUGUGGCGCGGGUUGUUAGUGGCGUCCGUGCAGCAGCUGCAGUUCACCUAAGUGAACAGAAUUAUCAUCUUCGCGGCGUCCGUGCACCAGUUAUAGUUCACCGAGGUAAACAGAAUCGUCAUCGUCGGUAUGUAUUGAACAUUUAUUCCAUUAGCAUUUAUUUUACUAUAUUCUGACCCUUGGUAUCUUCGUGUUGGAUAGGUUGGGCAUGACAUGCUGCAAUAUGUGGCAGUAGGGUGAGCGGCCCGGCCAGCGCUGUUGUCUCGCUUGGAUUUUUGAUUUUCUUUUCUUUUGUUUCCAGUUAAUCUGGUUUGUUGUCUGUCUGAAAGGUGAAAUGGUGAAUUGAUGUGUAGUUUUCUUUUUUUUUUCUCUUGUCUUUAAGAUAUUUUGUCUGGUCGUUGUUGUAUGUGUUUGUGACUUAAGUUGAGUUAUUCUUUUGGUUUUUGUUAAAGACUAAAAGGAGUUAUUCUCCUGUGUUCGUAUGUCCAUUAUUGUGAUUUAUUUCUUUAUGUGAUUUUCAUGACAUUAUUGGGGACGCUGGAUUUUCGGGCUGUGUAAGUCCAGCUAACUGUUCCAUUCUGAACCCAUUUAUUGUUUUGUAUUAGUCUACACCGCUAGUGGUGUAAAAUUGUUUAUUGUAUAUUUGUAUUCAUUAUUUUCUUGUAUUUCCAUACAGGAGCUGAGGGCCACUUACGAGGGUGUCCUGGGGCUGUGGUAGUGGGGUCUCCUGUGCACUUGAGUGCUUUACUUUCACUUGUGUGGUGUGGUGAGGUGUGAGUAUGAA